UACGUAGGGUGCAAGCGUUAAUCGGAAUUACUGGGCGUAAAGCGUGCGCAGGCGGUUUUGUAAGUCUGUCGUGAAAUCCCCGGGCUUAACCUGGGAAUGGCAUUUGGGACUGCAAGGCUCGAGUGCGGCAGAGGAGACUGGAAUUCCUGGUGUAGCAGUGAAAUGCGUAGAUAUCAGGAGGAAUACCGAUGGCGAAGGCAGGUCUCUGGGCUGACACUGACGCUCAUGCACGAAAGCGUGGGGAGCAAACAGG
rnacentral:rRNA from 1 species